rnacentral:rRNA from 1 species
CCGCCCGUCACACCAUGGGAGUUGGAUUCACUCGAAGGCGUUGAGCUAACUCGCAAGAGAGGCAGGCGACCACAGUGGGUUUAGCGACUGGGGUG